rnacentral:rRNA from 1 species
UGGGGAAUUUUGGACAAUGGGGGCAACCCUGAUCCAGCCAUGCCGUGUGAGUGAAGAAGGCCUUCGGGUUGUAAAGCUCUUUCGGCGGGGACGAAACGGUUCGUGACAACACCACGGACUAAUGACGGUACCCGCAUAAGAAGCACCGGCUAACUACGUGCCAGCAGCCGCGGUAAUACGUAGGGUGCAAGCGUUAAUCGGAAUUACUGGGCGUAAAGCGUGCGCAGGCGGUUGUGUAAGUCAGAUGUGAAAUCCCCGGGCUCAACCUGGGAAUUGCAUUUGAGACUGCACGGCUAGAGUGUGUCAGAGGGGGGUAGAAUUCCACGUGUAGCAGUGAAAUGCGUAGAUAUGUGGAGGAAUACCGAUGGCGAAGGCAGCCCCCUGGGAUAACACUGACGCUCAUGCACGAAAGCGUGGGGAGCAAACAGGAUUAGAUACCCCAGUAGUCCCUGAGCGGGCUGGCAAGGCGCAU